AUUCAGAUGGAGGGCAGGAAGUGAAGUAGCUUCUGAGGAUCUGCCGUCCGAAAAAAUGCUAAUGUUUUGUGUAGUUUACGGCGGCUCCAAUCGUUCUAACCGAGAAAAGGAAAAGGUGUUUUAUAGAGUACCAAAGAUUGUCGUUGCCAAAGGUGAGACAUGUAAACAGCUCUCAGAACUACGCCGUAAAAAGUGGAUUUUAAACCUGCGUCUGCGGUCGGGAGGAGCAGAGCCUGCUAACGCCGUGUCUGCAGCGACCACUUCGUCAGAGACGUCAUGGCGGAUGUCUUCCAACAAACACUCACCCUGGCGAAGACCAAACGAUAAUCAUCGUGGAGCCGUUUGGUACCGAGGCUGUGGACCCACCCGCUGACAAAAGAAUCUGCUGCCAGAGUCAGCCUGAGGCGUGUGACGUAGCGGAUGAGUUACAACGACCCCAAACACUUCCUCAGGAGAGCUGCGCUGCAGCUUCAGAGACGAUGCAAAUAUCAACAUCAAAAUAUUCAGAUUAUACAAAAAAAAUACAAACACAUCAUUUUGUGAAAAAAACGAAAUAAAAAUGAGUUAAAAGACAGAAAAAUAAAAAAGAAUUAGCUAAAUAUACCCGCAUGUAUUGAACUGUUCUAAAAUGUAUUUGACAGUCCUGUAUGUGCUGUUCAAAUCCAGACAGACGUCUCAUGACACACUGAGACACACGUCAUGUCAACACACACACACACACACACACACACACACACACACACACGAACAGACACUUUCUCCUCUGGUUCCAGAUGUUGCUGAUGAUAUCACCGUCUCAGGGCUUUCUCCUCGAUGACUCAUCCCUCGCCCACAAACACACAC